rnacentral:rRNA from 1 species
AUUGAACGCUGGCGGCAGGCCUAACACAUGCAAGUCGAGCGGCUGCAGGGUACUUGCUCCUGGUUUCGGCGGGGGAGGGGUGGGUGGUGCCUAGGUACCUCCCUAGUUGCUUUUGCUUACGUCCGGACACGGGCGCUCUUACCGCAUACGUCCUGAGGGCGAACGUGGGGGAUCUUCGGACCUCACGCCCUCAGAUGAUCCUAGGUCGGAUUAGCUAGUUGGUGGGGUAAAGGCCUACCAAGGCGACGAUCCGUAACUGGUCUGAGAGGAUGAUCAGUCACACUGGAACUGAGACACGGUCCAGACUCCUACGGGAGGCAGCAGUGGGGAAUAUUGGACAAUGGGCGAAAGCCUGAUCCAGCCAUGCCGCGUGUGUGAAGAAGGUCUUCGGAUUGUAAAGCACUUUUAGUGGGGAGGAAGAGCAGUAAGUUAAUACCUCGCUGUUCUGACGGUACCAACAGAAUAAGCACCGGCUAACUUCGUG